AAAAAGACAAACCGUGGGUUUUCGUGCCAACAUUUGACUGUCCGUCUUAUAUGAAAUUUUUUUAUAAUUAGUAUUUUCAUUAUUGUUAGAUGAUAAAACAUGAUUAAUACUUUAUGCAUGACUUAUCUUUUUAAUUUUUUUUUAUUAUUUUUUUAAAUAAGACAGGCGGUCAAACGUUGGACACGGAAACCAAGGUUUGUCUUUUCU
rfam:Oryza nivara chromosome 9, whole genome shotgun sequence.